rnacentral:rRNA from 1 species
GAUGAACGCUGGCGGCGUGCCUAAUACAUGCAAGUCGAGCGAACGGACGAGAAUCUUGCUUCUCUGAUGUUAGCGGCGGACGGGUGUGUAACACGUGGAUAACCUACCUAUAAGACUGGGAUAACUUCGGGAAACCGGAGCUAAUACCGGAUGAGAUUUUGAACCGCAUGGUUCAAAAGUGAAAUACGGUCGUGCGGUCUCUUCUAGAUGGAUCCGCGCUGCAUUAGCUAGUUGGUAAGGUAACGGCUUACCAAGGCAACGAGGCAUAGCCGAACUGAGAGGCUGAUCGGCCACACUGGAACUGAGCCACGGUCCAGACUCCUACGGGAGGCCGCAGUAGGGAAUCUUCCGCAGUGGGCGAAAGCAUGACGGAGCAACGCCGCGUGAGUGACGAAGGCCUUCGGAUCGUAAAACUCUGUUAUUAGGGAAGAACAUAUGUGUAAGUAACUGUGCACAUCUUGACGGUACCUAAUCAGAAAGCCACGGCUAACUACGUG